UUUAAGAAUGGUUGUGGCUUUCCGUGUCCAACGUUUGACCAUUUAUUUUAUUUGAAUUUUUUUUAGAUUAGUAUUUUUAGAUGAUAUGACAUGAAUAGUACUUUAUUCUUUUUUUAUUUUUAUCAUAAAUUUUUUAAAUAAGACGGACGAUCAAACAUGGAAAAUGAGAU
rnacentral:pre_miRNA from 1 species